rnacentral:rRNA from 1 species
UUAAGCAUAUCACUAAGCGGAGGAGAAGAAAACAACCGUGAUGCCCCUAGUAAUGGCGAAUGAAGAGGGCAGAGCUCACGCCGCCAAUCUGGAGGCCCUUGCGGCCCCCCGAAUUGUAGUCUAGAAAGGCGCCAUCGGCCGCGGCCUUCGCUAAAAUCCCUUGGAACGGGGUAUCGGAGAAGGUGAGAAUCCUGUGACGUGUGGGUUCGCGGCCGCACGAUGCGCCCUUGCAGAGUCGGGUUGCUUGGGAUUGCAGCUUGAAGUGGGUGGUAAAUUCCAUCUAAAGCUAAAUAUUGGCUCAUGACCGAUAGCGAACAAGUACCGUGAGGGAAAGAUGCAAAGAACUUUGAAAAGAGAGUUAAAGAGUGCUUGAAAUCGGCAAGAGGAAACCCGGUUGCGCCCAGCGUCGCACACUUUGCCCAGCCGCCCUUGUGGGCGGUGCAUCCGAGUGUGCGGGUCAGCCGCGUCUCCGUGGGUGGCACACUGUCUCGGUAGGACUUCGGUGAGCCGAGUCGUCGCCACGCACGGGGCCCCGGCUGACGCAAUGGGCGCCACCGACCCGUCUUGAAACAG